rnacentral:rRNA from 1 species
UACGAAGGGGGCUAGCGUUGCUCGGAAUGACUGGGCGUAAAGGGCGCGUAGGCGGUUUGUACAGUCAGAUGUGAAAUUCCUGGGCUCAACCUGGGGGCUGCAUUUGAUACGUAUGGACUGGAGUGAGGAAGAGGGUCGUGGAAUUCCCAGUGUAGAGGUGAAAUUCGUAGAUAUUGGGAAGAACACCGGUGGCGAAGGCGGCGACCUGGUCCUUUACUGACGCUGAGGCGCGAAAGCGUGGGAGCAAACAGG